rnacentral:rRNA from 1 species
GACGAACGCUGGCGGCGGGCUUAACACAUGCAAGUCGAACGGAAAGGCCCUGCUUUUGUGGGGUGCUCGAGUGGCGAACGGGUGAGUAACACGUGAGUAACCUGCCCUUGACUUUGGGAUAACCUCAGGAAACUGGGGCUAAUACCGGAUAGGAGCUCCUGCUGCAGGGUGGGGGUUGGAAAGUUUCGGCGGUUGGGGAUGGACUCGCGGCUUAUCAGCUUGUUGGUGGGGUAGUGGCUUACCAAGGCUUUGACGGGUAGCCGGCCUGAGAGGGUGACCGGCCACAUUGGGACUGAGAUACGGACCAGACUCCUACGGGAGGCAGCAGUGGGGAAUAUUGCACAAUGGGAGGAAGCCUGAUGCAGCAACGCCGCGUGCGGGAUGACGGCCUUCGGGUUGUAAACCGCUUUCGCCUGUGACGAAGCGUGAGUGACGGUAAUGGGUAAAGAAGCACCGGCUAACUACGUG